UCGAGCGAGGCACAGGUUAGUCGCGCUUCGCGAGAGGGAACCCGGUGAGAAUCCGGGACUGUCCCGCAACGGUAUGCAGGAACGACCGCCGUCACAAGCACUGGUCGAGAGACUGGGAAGCGACGGCCAGUAGGAGCACCCCCCGGGUGUGCGCUUGCGAGUCCGGAGACCUGCCAGCUGUGCCGGGCGCGC
rnacentral:ncRNA from 1 species